rnacentral:rRNA from 1 species
UACGUAGGGGGGCAAGCGUUGUCCGGAAUCAUUGGGCGUAAAGCGCGUGUAGGCGGCUCGAUAAGUCUGCUGUGAAAGUCCAGGGCUCAACCCUGGGAUGCCGGUGGAUACUGUCGAGCUCGAGUCCGGAAGAGGCGAGUGGAAUUCCUGGUGUAGCGGUGGAAUGCGUAGAGAUCCGGAAGAACACCGGUGGCGAAGGCGGCAUCCUGGACCAA